GAUGAACGCUGGCGGCGUGCCUAAUACAUGCAAGUCGAACGCACAGCGAAAGGUGCUUGCACCUUUCAAGUGAGUGGCGAACGGGUGAGUAACACGUGGAUAACCUACCUCAAGGUUGGGGAUAACAUUUGGAAACAGAUGCUAAUACCGAAUAAAACUUCGUAUCGCAUGAUACAAGGUUAAAAGGCGCUACGGCGUCACCUAGAGAUGGAUCCGCGGUGCAUUAGUUAGUUGGUGGGGUAAAGGCCUACCAAGACAAUGAUGCAUAGCCGAGUUGAGAGACUGAUCGGCCACAUUGGGACUGAGACACGGCCCAAACUCCUACGGGAGGCUGCAGUAGGGAAUCUUCCACAAUGGGCGAAAGCCUGAUGGAGCAACGCCGCGUGUGUGAUGAAGGCUUUCGGGUCGUAAAGCACUGUUGUAUGGGAAGAACAGCUAGAGUAGGGAAUGACUUUAGUUUGACGGUACCAUACCAGAAAGGGACGGCUAAAUACGUGCCAGCAGCCGCGGUAAUACGUAUGUCCCGAGCGUUAUCCGGAUUUAUUGGGCGUAAAGCGAGCGCAGACGGUUGAUUAAGUCUGAUGUGAAAGCCCGGAGCUCAACUCCGGAAAGGCAUUGGAAACUGGUCAACUUGAGUGCAGUAGAGGUAAGUGGAACUCCAUGUGUAGCGGUGGAAUGCGUAGAUAUAUGGAAGAACACCAGCGGCGAAGGCGGCUUACUGGACUGUAACUGACGUUGAGGCUCGAAAGUGUGGGUAGCAAACAGGAUUAGAUACCCUGGUAGUCCACACCGUAAACGAUGAACACUAGGUGUUAGGAGGUUUCCGCCUCUUAGUGCCGAAGCUAACGCAUUAAGUGUUCCGCCUGGGGAGUACGACCGCAAGGUUGAAACUCAAAGGAAUUGACGGGGACCCGCACAAG
rnacentral:rRNA from 1 species